UACCGCUAUUGGAGUUCGAUUAAGCCAUGCGAGUCGCGAGAAAUUAGAUUCUCGGCGUACCGCUCAGUAACACGUGGGUAACCUGCCCUAUGCUGGAUAAUAACCUCGGGAAACUGAGUAUAAUGAUCCAUAGUUCACUACGCCUGGAACGGUGAGUGGACGAAAGCUCCGGCGGCAUAGGAUGGGCCUGCGGCGUAUCAGGUUGUAGGGGGUGUAACGUACCCUCUAGCCCUCUACGCGUACGGGUGUUGGGAGACAUAGCCCGGAGAUGGAUUCUGAGACACGAAUCCAGACCCUACGGGGUGCAGCAGGCGCGAAAACUUGGCAAUGCGAGAAAUCGUGACCAGGGAACUCCAAGUGCAUCGGGUAAGACCGGUGCUUUUCUUGACUCUAAAUAGGUCUUGGAAUAAGGGGUGGGUAAGGACGGUGCCAGCCGCCGCGGUAAUACCGGCGCCUCAAGUGGUAGUCGCUUUUAUUGGGCCUAAAACGUCCGUAGCCGGUCUGAUACAUUCGUGGGUAAAUCAACCAGCUCAACUGGUUGAAUUCUGCGAGGACGGUCAGACUUGGGACCGGGAGAGGUGUGGGGUACGCUCAGGGUAGGGGUAAAAUCCUGUCAUCCCGAGCGGACCACCUGUUGCGAAGGCGCCACACUAGAACGGAUCCGACGGUCAGGGACGAAGCCUAGGGGCACGAACCGGAUUAGAUACCCGGGUAGUCCUAGGUGUAAACGCUGUGGACUUGAUGUUGGGGGUGCUCCGAGCACUCUCAGUGUCGAAGCGAA
rnacentral:rRNA from 1 species